CCUACGGGAGGCAGCAGUGGGGAAUAUUGGGCAAUGGGCGCAAGCCUGACCCAGCAACGCCGCGUGAAGGAAGAAGGCUCUCGGGUUGUAAACUUCUUUUAUCAAGGGACAAAAUCAGGCUCGAGCGCCUGACCGAGGGUACUUGAAGAAAAAGCAUCGGCUAACUCCGUGCAAGCAGCCGCGGUAAUAAGGAGGAUGCGAGAGGUAUCCGGAUUUAUUGGGUGUAAAGGGUGCGUAGGCGGACUGUUAAGUCAGCGGUAACAGCCCGGGGCGCAACCCCGGCGGGCCGUUGAAACUGGCUGUCUUGAGAUGUCGAGAGGUAUGCAGAAUGCGCAGUGUAGCGGUGAGAUGCUUAGAUA
rnacentral:rRNA from 1 species